rnacentral:rRNA from 1 species
CCUACGGGAGGCAGCAGUAGGGAAUCUUUCACAAUGGGCGAAAGCCUGAUGGAGCAACGCCGCGUGCAGGAUGAAGGCCUUCGGGUUGUAAACUGCUUUUAUAAGCGAGAAAUAUGAUGUUAACUUAUGAAUAAGGAUCGGCUAACUACGUGCCAGCAGCCGCGGUCAUACGUAGGAUCCGAGCAUUAUCCGGAGUGACUGGGUGUAAAGAGUUGCGUAGGUGGCAUAAUAAGUAGCUAGUGAAAUCUGGUGGCUCAACCAUUCAGACUAUUAGCUAAACUGUUAAUCUCGAGACCGUUAGGGGUAACUGGAAUUUCUAGUGUAGGAGUGAAAUCCGUAGAUAUUAGAAGGAACACCAAUAGCGAAGGCAGGUUGCUGGGACGGUUCUGACACUAAGGCACGAAAGCGUAGGGAGCAAACGGGAUUAGAUACCCGAGUAGUC